UAAAGGAAAAGUUCUCAACUAUUUUUUAUCUUUUAAAAGAGGGUAUUCAUAAGCCUUUGUUCUCUGCGCCCGAUUUAUAUAUCGAGGAACCAGGAAGGCGGGUAAAGGCUAAAAUCGUGAACACUGCCUUUACCAAGAUGGCCGCUCCCAGAAAAAAGAUGGCGGCCACGGUUUCACCCGUGGUCUGACAAGUGUUGCCCGGCCUCUAGGGGGCGCCCGCGGUCCAUGCCCUGAAGUGGAUCCCUAUGUUGUGGAGGACUCCUUUCCUUUCAGCCUUUAGUAGUCACUUUAGGCUGUGAAAGCGCUCUCCUGGCCCAAACCCUGUGCACCUCACUGUGAAUCUUAUGGUGGGGGAGAGAAGGGAGCAUGAUAUUAACACUGCCUGUGGUGUCCAGGUGGGGAAACUGAGGCUCGGGGGACUUUACUGCAAACUGAAUCACUUUUAACCUCUCAAGAUUGUGGACCCACUGGGAGUGGUGGCACAUGCUUGUUAUCCUGGCACUGUGUAGACUAAGGCAAGAGGAUUGCCACAAGUUCGAGGCCAGCUUGGGCUACAUAGCCAGACUUUGUCUCAAAGAACAAAAAACAAAAGAUAUGGACCCAAUGAUGAGACCAAACGCUGAUCUCCAGUGAAGGAAAUGUUUGUCUUGGCCAAGAAAGGAAGUCCAAGAUAACACUUAAAAUCAACCUCUCAACUCAUCGAGGCUCUGGAGAUCAUAGCUUUUAGCUUCCUGACUCCUCCAAAGAAAACACAGAUGGCAUCUUCCCUGAGGACCAGAGCAAGGGCCAGGAGCUUGCGUUCCCUUUUGUCCCUGAGGAGGUCUCUGGAAACAGCAAAAACUGGAAAAAGAAGCCGUGCUCUAGUUGUGAAACCGAAGAUCAGAUGGAGCCCCAGUUAAGGAGCAAAGAUUCUGCUCUUGGCCAAGAGUAAGGGAAAUGGGAGAUGACGUCGCCGAUCUGCUUCCCACCCGUUGGUGUCGGGUCCCGCGGGGGAACGCGAUCCUGCUGUGUCACGGAGCUGUCACCGCGCCCAGAGUUGGCCAGUCCCACACAGCCAAGUUUCAGCCAAUCAUACACAGUUGAAUGGACAGACCACACCCACCGUGACAAGCACCGCAGAGCCAAUCAGAAGAUUUCUCUACUUUGUUUCCGGUUUGGCCCAGUAGAGCCAAACAGCCCCUUCUGUUGCUUCCCGAAAGCACUGAAUGUUUUCUGGUUCUGAGUG